GCCGGGUGUGGUGGCUCACGCCUGUAAUCCCAGCACUUUGGGAGGCCAAGGCGGGCGGAUCACUUGAGGCCAGGAGUUCAAGACCAGCCUGGCCAACAUAGUGAAACCCCGUCUCUA
rnacentral:sRNA from 1 species